rnacentral:lncRNA from 1 species
GGCAACGACUUUACAUAUAGCUGAGGAAACCGGGCUUCUGCUCAUUUCACUUCACGGGCAACACGGAGACAUUUAGCUACCGAAGACGGAAAAAAACUACAACGAAAAAUGGUGAUGAAAGGUUUAUUGAUGAUCUGUUUGUUUCUCGUGGUCUUUGAAUUUUCGCGGGGAAAUGUGAUGUCAGGACGUAAGAGCCUUAAUGAUAAAGACAGCCAUCAAAUAACUGAUUGCGAAACACAUGGUGGAUUUUGUAUACCUUUCUAUCAAAAUAGUCCAACCUGCGCAGACUAUGGCGCAUUGCCCUACGCAUAUUCGUGUCUUUUAGGAGCAAACUGUUGCCGCUAAGACUGAAACUAAGAUGUGGGACAGGUACACUAAACUUUGUGUUGUGAGUUGGUUUUCAAGUUGAAAGUAGUUACAGAACAAUCGACGAAUGUCAUAUAUACAUAUAUAUAUGCACUAUUUAUGGUGUUCUGAAAUUGUAGAAAUAGAUUGGCUGGAACUUUAAUAAAAAUAACGGGUGCGACUAUAAAUGUAU